GUAAGGAAUAUUGGUCAAUGGACGCAAGUCUGAACCAGCCAUGCCGCGUGAAGGAUGAAGGCCCUCUGGGUUGUAAACUUCUUUUAUCUGGGACGAAAAAAGAGUAUUCUUACUCACUUGACGGUACCAGAGGAAUAAGCACCGGCUAACUCCGUGCCAGCAGCCGCGGUAAUACGGAGGGUGUAAGCGUUAUCCGGAUUCACUGGGUUUAAAGGGUGCGUAGGUGGAUAUUUAAGUCAGUGGUGAAAUCUCCGAGCUUAACUCGGAAACUGCCAUUGAUACUAUUUAUCUUGAAUGCCCUGGAGGUAAGCGGAAUAUGUCAUGUAGCGGUGAAAUGCUUAGAUAUGACAUAGAACACCAAUUGCGAAGGCAGCUUACUACGGGGUGAUUGACACUGAGGCACGAAAGCGUGGGGAUCAAACAGGAUUAGAAACCCCGGUAGUCC
rnacentral:rRNA from 1 species